CCUGCCACCUUGUGGUAUACUGACAAGAAUAAUCAACUACACACACACUUUGGUGCCUUCACUGCAGCUCUGAAAGUGUACCUUAACAAAUUCUUCUCUAAAACACUGGGUAAUAGUUAAGACUCAUUCCUCAUUCACAUAUUGGCUACACUGUGUUUCAGAAAGAAUCCAAGAUAUUAAUCCACAGCGCAGAGUCAACUUUUGGGAGGGGUGGGGUGGAAAAAAAAAUCACCUAACAACUAAAUUUAAUUUACAAUAUGCCCUAGUUUAGCCAACUAUUCCAACCUGAUUGUAAAUACAAUUGAGGAUAUACCCUGGCUAAUAAGCACAGAGGAAAUAAGAUGUGUGCUACACUGUUGAACUGUUUAUAAUCUUAGUGCCUUAAUUGCAAACAUUCCACUGACCACUAGGUAGCACUGUUUGAUAAGGUUAACAGAGAAGUGCCAUGGAAAAGGAGGACAUUAUGGAAAAGGACGACAUUAUUCCACUGCAAUGUGGCUUGAGAAUUUCUUAACACUCAAAAUUGCAUCUCAGUCUCUAUAUACAUCAGUAACUCACUCCAUAAUGCCUAAAACAAGAGUUUCCCAAGUCUCUUUCAAGCAUACCUUUUUCUACAGUCUUCUCAAUCACCACCUGAAAACCAACAGGAAAAAGAAACCCUUGCAUGCAAGCAAACAAGGCAGAAAGGUCCUUGCCAUACAUCUGUUCCCAGGAAAGUAUUUUGAUUGUCCGUAAGGCUCCAAGUAUUGACCUACCAACUUCCUUUUCCCUUCAUCUCGUUGCCCAAUAUUUAUUCCACAUGCAACAGAGCCAAUCUCAAUAUCAUCUGGCAGAGACAGCAAAGGAAAACCUUCCCAAGACAGCAUCCCCUAUUCCUCCCUGACAAAAAAAAGUCACAAAGAAACAAGAGGAUAGAAGCGGGACUGUAUCAAACCCAAAGAAGGAAUUCAGUACAGAGCACAAGCCUUCAGCAGGCUUCCUUCAAUAACUGCUUUGAGAUGGGCACAGUCUCCAAAUCAGUAAUGACAUCAUAAAAGAGUUGUUACCUUUGAACAAUGGCUCACAGACUGCAUACAUCAGCUCUGGAGGGGGUGUUUAAAAAACCCUAUGGGCCAGAACUACCAUGGCUUUCCCUCUGAACUAAAAUUUAAACCUGUGUGCAUGCACAAUAGAGAUGAUCUGGUUGAAUUCACAGCCCUGGAAUGACAGAAGGAAGCAAUUACAGUUUUGCGUACUAAAUAGUCUUUGAGAUUAUGCUUCAUUUUGAAUGGAUCUGUAGCAGACUGAGCACAUGACUUCUCUGGAAAGUUAACUUCUCAAAUGCCACACAAUUAUGGCAGAGCAAAAAUAGGCUCUAAGCUACUAUAAGAACCCAAGUGUUGUUAAAGUCAAAAGCAACUGGAACAGUAUUAGAGGCAAAAGG